GUGAACUCCCGCUGAGCUGAAGACGCAGCGGCUUCUUCGGAAGUCGUCGGGUCUGAGGUUUGGUCGCUUUUACGGAAGCUCAAGUUCACCAGACUCAGCCCCAGAAAUGGGAGCUCCGUUCGCUAGGUCAUGACACCUGCGGUUGACGCAUCAGACCGCUGCUCUGUC
rnacentral:sRNA from 21 species